UUUGCUCUUUGAAAAUUAAUAUUAAUAAUAUUAAAAAUGUUUACUUUCUGAAUAAUCACUUUUAUUUUUUAUCCUUAUCAAUAUUAAACAACGUAGUUAUGUAAGGCUAUAUAUAUUACAUGGAAAAUUCUGUCCUCCUAGUGCGCAUAUAUCUUCCCAAGAUACCACAAUUUUCCCCAAGAGAAGAAAAAAAAUUAAUUCAGUAAUUACAUUGAUUCAUUACUACACAUUUCUUUCUUCUUAUCUCUCUCAUACUCAUCCUCUCACUCCUUUGUUUCCCUAUUACAUGUUCCUUAAUCCUUACUCCACACUAUAAUAUGACAUUUGGUUGAUGAUUUAUUUUCAAUAAGAUUUUACUUCAGGAAAAAAAAAUAGAAUUUCAAUUUUUAAUUAAAUUAAUUUUCGAAAAAGUUUUACAAAAUAAUAUCUAAGACAAGUAUAAUAUUGAUAUGUAUUUCUGUAUUCUUUUAUUUAUUUAUUUAUUUUUUUUUUUGUUAUUUUUUUCAUUUCGAUGAUUGAAAAUAUUUGGUCAAUGAUCCUCUAUCGAAUAUAAUAUAUAAUAAUAUAUAAACAUCACAAUGACACAAAUCUGAUAUCUAUUUAAAGGCAAUAAAUGAAAUUGCUUACAAAUUUUGUCAAUACGCUAUAUCACAUUCGAUAGAGGUAACAAAGGAUCAAAAGCCUAAAAAGCGAAAUUCUUUUAAGAUUUCUUUUAGAUUUUAUAUCAAAUUUUAAUAAUUUUUUCAGUUUUUUAUUCAAUAACAAAGAAAAAAAUUCAGGGAGAUAAACAUAAUCUAUAAAGUAAUUCAAUAAAGAUUGAAUUAAACAUACUUGCAAAGAAGUUAUCUGGUUAAAAUUCUACCUAAAGGAAGAAACCAAAUGAGAAAUAAAGAAGAAAAAAGAUUUUUCCUGUAAUGAAACAUAUCUAUUCCUUUACAACUUACCCAUGCCGCAAACUACGAUUAAGUCGAAGAUGACGAUUAACAAGUAUAGUAUUCCGACUAAUUUCAUGACAUAACGACCCGAUGCCUCCGUUGCUGGGCCUCUGUCCACCCAAGGGAAGAUGGCGGGACAAAGAUACUGUGCCGCCUAAAAUA